UUUCGGAUAAGUAUUUGUUAGGCCUUAUAAGAAAAAACGUUAUUAACUUAAGGAAUUAUAACAAAGAAGUAACACGUAAUAAAUUUAUUUUAUUUAGUGUGUAUCAAUCGAGUUUCUGACCUAUCAGCUUUUGAUGUUAGGGUAUUGGCCUAACAUGGCUAUGACGGGUAACGGGGAAUUAGAGUUCGAUUCCGGAGAGGGAGCCUGAAAAAUAGCUACCACAUCUAAGGAAGGCAGCAGGCGCGUAAAUUACCCAAUUCUAAAGAAGAGAGGUAGUGACAAGAAAUAACAAUGCAAGGCCAAUUUUUGGUUUUGUAAUUGGAAUGGUGGGAAUUUAAAACCUUCCCAGAGUAACAAUUGGAGGGCAAGUCUGGUGCCAGCAGCCGCGGUAAUUCCAGCUCCAAUAGCGUAUAUUAAAAUUGUUGCAGUUAAAACGCUCGUAGUUGAAUUUCAAAGAAUCGAUAUUUUAUUGUAACUAUUCUAGGGGAACUGCCGCGGCUGCGGGC
rnacentral:rRNA from 1 species